AUUGAACGCUGGCGGCAGGCCUAACACAUGCAAGUCGUGCGAGCGGCGGACGGGUGAGUAAUGUAUGGGGAUCUGCCUGAUGGAGGGGGAUAACUACUGGCAACGGUAGCUACUACCGAAUACCAUCAGAUGUGCCCAGAUGGGAUUAGCUAGUAGGUGGGGUAAUGGCUAACCUAGGCGACGAUCCCUAGCUGGUCUGAGAGUAUGACCAGCCAAACUGGAACUGAGACACGGUCCAGACGCCUACGGGAGGCAGCAGUGGGGAAUAUUGCACAAUGGGCGCAAGCCUGAUGCAGCCAUGCCGCGUGUAUGAAGAAGGCCGUCGGGUUGUAAAGUACUUGCAGCGAGGAGGCGUUACUCGCAGAAGAAGCACCGGCUAACUCCGUGCCAGCCGCCGCGGUAAUAC
rnacentral:rRNA from 1 species